rnacentral:rRNA from 1 species
GACGAACCGUGCGAACGUUAUUCGGAAUCACUGGGCUUAAAGCGCGUGUAGGCGGGGCGGAACGUCGGUCGCUGAAAUCCCCCGGCUCAACCGAGGAAGGGGCGCCGAUACGACCGGCCUGGAGGGACGUAGGGGGAGCUGGAACUUCCGGUGGAGCGGUGAAAUGCGUUGAGAUCGGAAGGAACGCCCGUGGCGAAAGCGAGCUCCUGGACGUUUUCUGACGCUGAGACGCGAAAGCCAGGGGAGCGAACGGG